AGUUAUUACGUGUUUAUGCAUCGCACAGUGGUGGAUGGUACAGAAGAUUCAAAGGUGGAUGAAAGAAUCCAGGAUCUGCAGAACUUUCUAAUGUUUUAACUGAAUUUCCUAAGGUGGACUGUGUUUAUGAACAAUUAAGCCCCAUCUGUGUUGCUGUUGUCCCUGUCUUUCCUCCAUGGGGCCACCUGUUCAAUCCCUGGUCCAGAAGAUCCCACAUGCCAUGGAACAAGUGAGCUUGUGCACCGCAGCUACUGAGCCCGAGCACCAGAGCCAGCAGGCCGCAGCUGCUGAAACCUGUGGGCCCAAAGCCCGUACUCGGCAACGAGAGAAGCCAUGGCAGGGAGAAGGCCUCACUGCGACUGGGGAGCAGCCCCUCUUGCUGCAACAGGAGAAAAGCCCGUGCAGCAACUAAGACUUGGUACAGCCAACAUGAAAAUAAUAAUACA
ensembl:lncRNA